rnacentral:misc_RNA from 1 species
GGUCUCGAGUUCGAUCCUCGA